UAGCAUAAGCAACAUAAAAACCAAAAAAUAAACACAGAGGUGAGAAAGCAAAUAGCAUAACCAACAUAUAAACUAAAAUGUCUUCGCUCAAGUUUGUUUUCCUUCUCUCUUUUUUGGUGAUUAGCUCUUGCAAGUAUUGAUCUUUGCUUUUCUUUUGUAAUAUUAUGGAUAGUUUUAUUUUUGGGUGUGCAUGCAUUAAUUCAAGCAAGAGAUAGUAGUUUAUAAUUUAUAAUUUGUAAGAAUUGCCUAGGUAGUAGUAUAAAUGUUAUACUGAUAAAAUAAUAUGAUUGCAGACUUGCACGUGAAGGUGGAAGCAAGAGGUCCAAUAGUCUCUUUCCGAUGCAAGACUAACGCAAAUUGCAUAACCAAUCCUGAAUGUGGCCCACUACUUUGCCAUGCUCCGUGUACUUGCGUAAAUACCAUUUGUACUUGUCCCGGGAGAGCUUCUUUACAAAAAGCUGCUCUUGGAAAUGGAGUAACAAUGAAUUGAAAUGGAAG
rnacentral:lncRNA from 1 species